AGGGGAGCAUUCUGAAAGAUCGUUUCAAGAGCCUGCAGAAACGCAAUCUCAUAGAACCCCGGGAGCGUGCCAAGUUCAAGAGGAAAUACCGCGUGAAAUACGUCGAAAAGCGGGCCUUCCGGGCGAUCACGUUAUAGAGGACGGAUCACACCACGACAUUCCGGGGACACCUCUACCGCUUUUCUGUUUCAUUAAAAAAA